GGUGGCGGGGCCACUGCCCCGCUUGGGGGAAGCCGAGCGAUGGUUUGUGGGCGCCAGUUGUCUGGCGCCGGGAGUGAGACCCUAAAACAAAGAAGAACACAAAUCAUGUCCCGAGGACUUCCAAAGCAGAAACCGAUAGAAGGUGUUAAACAAGUUAUAGUUGUGGCUUCUGGAAAGGGUGGAGUCGGAAAAUCUACUACAGCAGUGAAUCUUGCACUUGCACUAGCAGCGAAUGAUUCGACCAAGGCCAUUGGUUUGCUAGAUGUGGAUGUGUAUGGACCUUCAGUUCCAAAGAUGAUGAAUCUGAAAGGAAAUCCGGAAUUAUCACAGAGUCUGCUGGAGUUUGCUGGAGGUCCACUCCAGACCCUGUUUGCCUGGGUAUCACCAGCAGAGGCUGCAGAACAGCAAAGAUUGCUGCCUGUUCCUUCCUCUGGAAGCUUUGUCCUAGAGGGGCACCCACCAGAUGCCAGCUGGAGCUGUCCUGUAUGAGGCAACCUAAUGAGGCCUCUCUUGAAUUAUGGUAUUGCUUGUAUGUCUAUGGGCUUUCUGGUUGAAGAAAGUGAACCAGUAGUUUGGAGAGGCCUUAUGGUAAUGUC
rnacentral:sRNA from 1 species